rnacentral:misc_RNA from 1 species
AAGUCGUAACAAGGUUUCCGUAGGUGAACCUGCGGAAGGAUCAUUAAAGAGAUCAUGCCCUCACGGGUAGACCUCCCACCCUUUGUAUACCAUACUUUGUUGCUUUGGCGGGCCCGUCGGACUCCCGUCCGACCACCGGCCUCGGCUGGUCCGCGCCCGCCAGAGGACCCAAAACACUGAAUAUAAUGCCGUCUGAGUACUAUAUAAUAGUUAAAACUUUCAACAACGGAUCUCUUGGUUCUG